GGAGGAGACGAGGAGCCCAGGUGCUCUGAUGACUGUCCAGAUGUCGUCUGGACACUGGAAGGGUUCGACAGAGCGGUGUUUACUUCACGCAGGAUUCUGGGCAGAGGACCCAGCUUUGAGGCGCCGCUCUGGAAAAAACAGGUCACCUGAUGAACACUUGGAUGGAUCGACUUCACAGUUCUCAUCUGACUCGUAGAGGGCCUUGAUGAACUCACCUGAAGGAAAGUAACCAAAAUAAUACGACUCGUAAAGAUUUGAGUGUUCUUGAUUUAAGCGAAGGCUCACCAAGGGCGUCCUGCAAAUACUUCUGCCCCACCAGUUUCAGGUAUUCCUCUAUGGCCUUUGUAGCGAGCGUGUUCUCUCUGAAGAUUAGGUGCUCAUUCUCUCCACAGCGGU